AUAAAAUUUUCUAUUUCUGUAGGUAAUUACACUGAUGAUGUAAACUGCAUGCUUUCUGACUUUAUUUAAAUUAGACCAACAAAGCACAUUCUUCCUCAGGUUCUUGCUUUGUACCAUAAGUCUCUAUUAGUAAAUGUUUUAUUGAUGUGCAUGGUGGUGUUUCGUUUUUUGUUCAUAAUAGUAUUUCUAAUGAUAGAAACCUUAAUCAUGAAUAGGCAACGAAUAAGCUCAUUUCAGCAUGUUUUUGCUCAACUUGGACAGAGAGAGAUCUUGUAUCUCUUUUAUUUUGUUUGUGUGUUUAAUUCAGGUUUUGAAGGGAGACAUAAUCUGGUGAGGUUUGUAAAACUAUUCAGAAAGCAGGAAUAUAUCUUUUUGGAGUGUAUGUUUUUGCAUAAUGUAAUUUUGGAUUAUUAUAAAGCUCUUGCCUAGCUAGAUCUAUGUUCCAAACAGGAUUUGUGCAUAACCGGUAAAGUUUACACCUAAGGGGAUGUGUUCUUAAUUUAUUAAUGUUUUUUUUUUUUUAUAGAUUAUUUGAAGCAGCAUCGAUCUCUUCGCUAAAACUUUGGAAGGUUUGUGCAUAUUAUUUUUUCUUAUUUGUAUGGUUGUAUUAUAUGUUUCUUUUGUUUCGAGAAUUCAAUAUCUACUGUAUAUGUUGUUGUUCUAUUUAUUUUAUUUUUUAAUGCACCUUAUCCUAUAAUA
rnacentral:lncRNA from 1 species